ACCAUGGCUCAGUCGGUAGAGCAUGAGACUCUUCAUCUCAGGGUUAUGGGUUCAAGCCCCACGUUGGGCA
rnacentral:tRNA from 1 species